rnacentral:lncRNA from 1 species
CCAGCCCAGCCCCCUGGACCUUCACCUCCGCCACCUCCACUCCCUCUGGUUGAAGGUGAUCUUUCCAGAGCCCCCCAGGAUUUGAAUCCUGCCGUGACAGCCGCCUUGCUGCAACUUUUAUUCCAGCCUGAAGCAGAGCCUCCUGGCCACCUGCCACAUGAGCACCAGGCCUUGAGACCAAUGGAGUACUCCACCGGAUCCCAUCCAAACAGGACUUACAGAAAUACUGAUGGGCCUGAGACAGGGUUCAGUGCCCCUGACAAUGAUGAACUCAGUUCUGGUCCAGACUUGACAGAAUCUUUGGUUCAGACCCCGGUGAAGAACAGGACUUCUCAGGCUCUGUGAGCCACCUUGGGGAGUCCACCUUGGGGAGUUACCAGGGCACAGGGUCAGUGCAGUUCCCAGGGGACCAGGACCUCCGUUUUACCAGGGUUCCCUUAGCAUUACACUCAGUGGUUGGGCAACCAUUCCUCAAGUCUGAGGGAAAUAGCAACUCUGUGGUACAUACAUGCAGAGACCGGAUUGCAAAACUAUGGGGAGCUGGGACCGGGAACCACUGGGGCCAACAGCUCAGGAACAACGCUUCAGUGGGGGCAGGGGGUGGGGUGAGCAGCUCAGUCUUAUGGAAAACCCUACAGGGGCUGCAUGAGUCCCACCACGAGGGGGAAGAAGGAGAGG